AACAAAUAACUAGUCAAAGCAAUUAACAUGAUGUUUUGGAUUGUAUAUCCUGAUACUAUAAAUGAUUAAAUUAUUUCCAUGUUUAGGAGUCUUCCAAACGAAUUGAUACUACACCGCCACAGACACCGGUCCCAUUGGGACCACAACUGGUGACAGCACCACCACCACCGCCGCCACAGACACCGGUCCCAUUGGGACCACAACUGGUGACAGCACCACCACCACCGCCGCCACAGACACCGGUCCCAUUGGGACCACAACUGGUGACCCCACCAGUAACAAAGAAAAGGAAGAGGGAUGAAGAGCCAUCCGAAGACCUGUAGAGAAAGAGGGUGAGGUUGGAAUCGCCUGAAAGAAUCGACGUUCUGACAUCUGACUUCCACACAGUAUCCAUAGAUGAGGAAAUGUUCAAGGCCCUUAUUACCUCAUUAGACAUGUAAAGUGAGUAACUGAGUUUUCUCCUUUUCAUUUUAACUCUUUUUCAACUUGAAUAAUUGUUAAUAUUU